rnacentral:rRNA from 1 species
UUCUGUUCGAACUAAUUAAUAGUAAAAUCUGCUCAAUGAAAUUUAAAUAGCCGCAUUUUGUGCUAAGGUAGCAUAAUAAUUUGUCUUUUGAAUGAAGACUAGAAUGAAAGAUUACACAUUUUAAAUAAUAUCUUUUAUAUAAACAUAUAAAUUACAAUAAAUGUAAAAAUUCAUUUAUUAAAAAGAAAGACGACAAGACCCUAUCGAACUUUACUAAAGUUAAACUGGGGUAGUUAAUAAAUUAUAAUUUUUAUAAUAAAUAAAAAUAAACUAGACCUAAAAGCUUUAAAAUCCGGAACAAGUUACCGUAGGGAUAACAGUGUAAUAAAUUUUACAAGUUCUUAUUAAAAAACAAGAUUACAACCUCGAUGUUGAAUAAUAACCUUUUUACAAACGCAAAAGUUAAAUAAGGAAGUCUGUUCGACUUUUAAACAAUUACA